CGCCACUAUUCUCCAAAAAGAAAUCUCAACAAGUUUUAUAUCAACUCUUGAAACUGAUUUGUAUAAGAUCUCUUAAUUACUCCAUCAUUGAUAAUUGGAGGCCAUGGAUGAUAAACAAUCAAGUUGCUGGAUACGCUCAGACAUAUGCCAAUAAUAUGACAUUAGCUACUGUCAAAGGAGGUGGGCACACAGCAGAAUAUACACCAGUGGAAAUUAAAGCUCUAUCCUGUUUCAGAGAUGGCUAGCUGGCCAACUUCUAAAAAAAUGCCUCUUUGCAAUUCAUUGAUAAUAUAUUUGCAUUCUUAUUU